UCCCUGUUGGCUCAGUGGUAAAGAAUUUGCCUGCCAAGCAGGAGACAUAGAUUCGAUCCCUGGAUCGGGAA
rnacentral:tRNA from 1 species